rnacentral:rRNA from 1 species
AUACGUAGGGUGCGAGCGUUGUCCGGAAUUACUGGGCGUAAAGAGCUCGUAGGUGGUUUGUCGCGUCGUCUGUGAAAUUCCGGGGCUUAACUCCGGGCGUGCAGGCGAUACGGGCAUAACUUGAGUACUGUAGGGGAGACUGGAAUUCCUGGUGUAGCGGUGAAAUGCGCAGAUAUCAGGAGGAACACCGGUGGCGAAGGCGGGUCUCUGGGCAGUAACUGACGCUGAGGAGCGAAAGCAUGGGUAGCGAACAGGAUUAGAUACCCUGGUAGUCCAUGCCGUAAACGGUGGGCGCUAGGUGUAGGGGUCUUCCACGACUUCUGUGCCGUAGCUAACGCAUUAAGCGCCCCGCCUGGGGAGUACGGCCGCAAGGCAAAAACUCAAAUGAAUUGACGGGG